GGGCCUGUGACGUAAUGGACAGCGUAAUCGGCUUCGGACCGGUUAGUCUGGGUUCGAAUCCCAGCAGGCUCA
rnacentral:tRNA from 1 species